AGAGAGAGGGAAGCAGGCUCCCUGCUGAGCAGAGAGCCUGAUGCAGGACUCGAUCCCAGGACCCUGAGAUCAUGACCCGAGCCGAAGGCAGCGGCUCAACCCACUGAGCCACCCAGGCGCCCCGAUGUUUUUGUUUCUUAAUGAAUUAAGCAAAACAGCAGGAGACUAAUGGGACAGACACCACUGCAGUAUGAGAGAAGAGCAAUAUCCUGAGGCUUUUAGAAGGAAGGGCUUUGUUUUUCCAGUGCACGUAUAGCAAGAAAUAUUAGAAAAUAUCUGCUUCAGCCCCCACCCUGGUGCAACAGAGCCUUACGAUGUUGGGGGCAGAAGAUUAAGAGAGUGGGAAAAGAACGGGACAAGUCAAAUUAAAAUUUGUGUCAGAAACAAUAGUCCUAGUGCUAAAGAAAAUCUAACCCCAAAUGAAGAAAGGUGAAUAUCAAACUGGUUUUCAGAAAUCUGCUAGGUCUCCUGAGCCAAUAAAGGAAAGGUGUUCAACCAGAUCAGAGCUGCCUCUCUCAGUGUGCUGUAUUCUGCAUAAUAAGCUUCCCUUUAAGUAAGGGUCUGCAGCUUGAAGUCUGCAGCUUGAAGAUGUUACAGUACUCCAAAAGCACCAGAGUAAAAGAUAAACUCAAAAAAGCACCUUCAGAUGAAUUUAGUGGGCUGAUUACAAAGAUUUAUCCUUUGAAUAAUAGGCUUUCCCAAAGAAAACAACAGAACAAAUUAAACAAUAGUUUUAAUAGGAGAAUCCUUGAUCUAAGAAAAGGCUCAAGUUUAAAUGAAGAUCCCUUUUGCAUAUUAAGUGCCAGCGCCUGGGUGGCUCAGUGGGUUAAAGCCUCUGCCUUCAGCUUAGGUCAUGAUCCCAGGGUCUUGGGAUUGAGCCCCACAUCAGGCUCUCUGCUCAGCAGGAAGCCUGCUUCCUCCUCUCUCUCUGCCUGCCUCUCUGCCUACUUGUGAUCUCUGUCUAUCAAAUAAAUAAAUAAAAUUUUUUUUAAAAAAAUAAAUAAAUGCCAGCUGGAACAGAGCAGAGUUCUGUAGUUCAGGAUUUCUCCAGUUAUCCACAUGUGACUAUCACUGAAAAUCUCUCUGCAGUAUGCAACAUGCACAACUUAUUUGCCCUUUAUAGAAAAAAAUUACUUGAAUAUAAUCACAUUACCAAAAUUAAGAAGAAAAGAAUGAGAAAAGAAAGUUGGUAGGUACUGAAAUCAAUAAAAUUAUUAGGAUAAUGUGGAUAAUUUAAAACAUUUAUUAAGUGAUAAAAACUUAAAUGGGGUUUAUUAACCCCAGAUUAAGUUAUUGAAGGCCAGGAAGAGAUCACAGUUUCUUUUUUAGGAGGUGAAAUGAGGGAUAAAAUACUAUCUUCUGUUAAAAAAAAAAAAAAAAAAACUCCUUUUUACUUUGAAAAUUCAAUGUAAAUUUAAGAAUCUUUUGAGGGGCACCUGGGUGGCUCUGUUGGUUAAGCAUCUAACUCAAUCUCAAUGCAAGUCUUGAUCUCAGGGUUGUGAGUUCAAGCUCUGUGUUGGCUCCACAGUGGGUGUGGAGCCUACUUAAAAAAAAAAAAAAAGUUUGAAAUCUGUUAAGGUGGGUAAUAAUAAAAUUAAUAACAGAACGUCUCCUGGCCAGAUCCUUGAAAAAGACAAAAAGGAAUCACAUAUUUGACAAAAGUUGAAAGAAAUAAGAAUAGCGCUUAGGAUCAAAACUGUUUAAAUUGUUUAAAUUCUAAAAACAGAAUUAAAUGAUCUGCAUCUUACGAAGGCUUACUUUUAAUCAAAUUCUGUCACACACCUAAUAUUAAUGUAUUUCAGAGCACAAUUAGAGAAGGUAUAAAUAGCAUAUUCACCACUAAAAUUAUAAUUAGUAGGAAAGACAACAAACCCCAGGGUUUAUAUGCAGAAUAAUAUAGGAUUGAAAUGGAGAAAUACAAAAGGCCUUUAAAAUAGUGUAGAGGGGCACCUGGGUGGCUCAACUGGUUGGGCCUUUGCCUUCAGCUCAGGUCAUGUUCCCAGGGUCCUGGAAUGGAGGCUUGCAUCAGGCUUCCUGCUCAGUGGAGAGUCUGCUUCUCCCUUUUCCUCUGCCCCUCCCCUCAUUUGUGCUCUCUGUCUCAAAUAAAUAAGAUCUUUUAAAAUCAAUGAAAUAGUGUGGAGAUUAUGGUGGAGACCUUGACACGUGUUCUGGGAACUAUCAAACCAAGAAGGGAGGUAAAAAUGAAAAUUACUAUGUAUAAAAAAUACAAUUUUUUCUCAAAUUGAAUAGUUUACAAAUCGAUCAGCUAGCAAUAUUGAAUGACAGGCAGCAUAGAGGACCCAGAAACAUCUCUUAACUCUGCACAUUAGCUGAUUUAGAAUAUUUACAGCAAGAUCCAAAACAAAACAAACCCUCGAACUGUUCUAAACUUUGGCCUCUUUGUCCUAAAGACACAUUGCAAGGAAAUCACUUCCAUUCCAAACCUGGACCCUACGGGCCUCAGCUUUCCUGAAGGAAUGAAAUAGCUCAGCAUUUGGUGCUCACCUGCCGGAUAUUCCGUCAGCGUCUGAGCAGACUGCCAAAUUGCUGAAAGCAAUUCUUGCAGUCUGAUAAUUCCCCUGCAGGGCAUUUUAUAGGGCAGAAAUUGUACAGGCUGUAUUCUUUGAUCACAAGAUAAUAAAACAAGAAAAUAAAAGCACAGUCACCUGGAAGAUAAUUUUAAAGCCCUCUUCUAAAUAGCUAUUUUGUCAAAAAAUGCAAUAAGAUAGAGUGGAAAAAUGGCAAAAGUAGAGGAUGAUAUGUUUAAAACUAAGCUAAAGGGCAAACUGAUAGCCAUUAUUGCACAGAGAAGGUACAUGGAUGAAUUAAACAUAUAACACUGGAAACAAAAGUAACAAUAAAGGCUAAUUAGAAAUAAAUUAGAAAGAAGUAAAAAGGCAACCUUGCAAAUGCAUUUUUUUAAAAAUUCAAAACUAGAAAUAACAGUGGUAUGAAAAAACAGAGGAUACUUAAGUCCCAUCCUCAAUUAUACAUUUUAAUUUAAGCGUUUGUUAUAAAAUGUUAAAUACACCAGUUUAGAACAAGAAUUAGAAAUCCUGAGCAGAUCAGUAACCAAAGAAGAAAUUCAGGCAGUUGUCAAUGAAUUAUAAUCCUUAAAUUAGCCCUGAUAACUUCAUCCAUUCUUCCAGACUUGAAAAGCACAUCAUUCCUCUGGUUUUUAAGUUUUUCUAUGCAGCCUGGAAAAGCAGUCCCAACAGUUCCAUGGAAUUAAAACUAUGAGACCCAGAGACAUUGAAUGACUUCUACCAGGACACACAGCAAGUAAAUAAUGGAGCUGAUAUUCACAGUCAGGAAGUAUGACUCCAUGACUUCACUUAAGUUCACAUACUAGUUCCAAUGCUGUUCUUUAAGAACAAAGUAUAAAAUCUUUGUCAUAAAAAUAGAGCAUGUAAUGGAGAGAGAAUUUUUUUCCAUUGUGUGGCCCCUUGAGAGAGUGGUGUGAGAGAAAAGUAUAAGUGAGAUGAGAGGAAGUGAAGAAAGCAAAGGAGAGAAGGAAAUACAGAUGGCAGGAGACGGAAUGAUGACUCAGUGGCUUUGGGGCGACAGCAUCGGUUCCUUUUGUACUUUGGUUGCUGCACAAGCUUAACUAACAACUAUAUUGAGUACCAAUGUACUGAGUGCUCAGGGACGCAUUGGUGAGAAGAAGAGAAAGAAAAGCCUCCUUCUGUAGAUUAAUUCUUCUUUAGUUUGAAGAACUAGUGUACUAUAGGGUCAGCUGCCACUUGGGCAGAGCAGACAGGCUCCUUCCAAACCUCUUUCAAAAGAUUCACCAAAACAAAAGAAUUCCUCUUUUACUGUCCCCUUAAUUGGCACACACCUCAUUUUUUGUUUGUUUUACAGGUCUUUGUUCUGUUUUAUUUUUUGAGGUAAAAAUUACAGUGCAGUGUGCAGAUAAUAAGAUUCAGUAAAUUUGACAAAUGCAUACACACUUCUAAUGAUUGGAGACAGUUUCCAUAUGUCUCGCAAGUAGAGGCACACUGUCUCUUUUCAGGAAUGCUUUUAUAGUGAACAGUCUUGGAAGGUAAUGUCCCCUCUGGAGCAAACAGCAGGUUUGUUUACUGUCCAGUGUAAUAAAGAUAAUGUCUUCUUUCAGAGCAAAGGGCAGGCACAAUUACUACCCUUUAUAAAAGACUGAGGAUCUUCAGUUCUGACACCAGCUUACUGCAUAUGCAGCACCAAUCUGGGCCCCUCUUCAUUACCUGUUUAAGGCUUAGAGGACAGGAGGAACCAAUACAAACCUGAUGCUCAAACUGCUUAUUGCGCUGUGGAUACUGAAGUUCUUUUUCUCUGACCCAGGAAUUUUGUGUCUGUUGCCAGCAUCCACAAGAUGGGCGGGCUAACUUGCUGUCUUGCAACUAGAGUGAAACCUCAGACCCUUCACAGUUCUUGACAGCCACCCCCUUCGCGAUACAGACCUAUCCACUGAAGCAGCAUCCACUGAAGCAGCAGGUUCCCUCAUACCCAUCUCCCCUCAGUCUCACAAGAGAUGAUCCUGUUUCUGGUUGUUUUCACAAUAGAUAGUUUUGCCUUUUCUAGAACAUCACAUACAGGGAAUCAUACAACAAAUACUCUCGUAUUUCCCUGUCUCACUCAGCAGGUCUGUAAGAUAAGUCCACGCUGUUGUAUAAAUCAGUGGUUCACUCCUUUUUGUGUCUGCGUAGUAUUCCAUUGUUAGAAUAGUUCUCCAUUUAACCAUUUCCCUGUUGAUGGACAUUUGGGUGGUUUUCAGCUUGCAGAACAAAGCUGCUGUAAACAUCCACAUGUUUAAAUAAUGUUUUACUGUAUACAGGAACUUGGGAACAAAUCAUUGUAGAGAUUCCAGAUUUUAUUAUCUGCUUUCAAAGAAUGCUCAUUUUUGUCUUAGAAGGGACUUAAUCUAUCUGGACCCAAAUUUCCAGCUCUAUCUCUUUUGCAAAGGGCAGCAGCUGAAAUUUCUGUUGCAGUUUUCUGCCUUCCACCUGCCCCCUUGGAGUCUGUCCUGCAUAAGUACAGUCAAAGGAAUCAGCUAAAAAUUAGGGUGAGGUUCAAUAGAUUUGGGACUCUCUAUGUUGUGACUCUCCUUUUUUGAUUAUCCUCCCUAACUUCAAACUUGUUUGGGCAUCUCUAAACUCAGCCAAAUGACUCCUCGAAGCAGUAAGAUUGCACUUGUCUGUUUGAGUUCUUUUUGUUUGUUUGUUUGUUUGUUUGUUUGUUUGAUUGUUUGUUUGACCGAGAUCACAAGUAGGCAGAGAGAGAGGGGGAAGCAGACUCCCUGCUGAGCAGAGAGCUCGAUGCGGGGCUCCAUCCCAGGACCCUGAGAUCAUGACCUGAGCCCAAGGCAGAGGCUUAACCCACUGAGCCACCCAAGUACCCUGUCUGUUUGAGUUGUAGUAUCUCUGCACCCAAGAGGAAUGAGAGUACCUUCAGGUAAAAGGUUCUAUAAACAAAUCUCAUCCAGUGUGAUUCCCAAAAUGUUUAUUCCUCUUAGUAUCAACCUACUUUUGGUCAUUCUCCAGUGCCUUCAGAUAGCUGUUUUUUAAAAUGUUACCCAGAAUUUAUAAUUGUUAUAGAAGACUUAGCCAGAUAAAAGCUACUCUACCAUUUCUAGAAGCAGAAUUCUGCCUAGUAAUAUAUUGUUAUCACUUUACGCCUUGUCAUUUUACUUUGGAUGUAUCUCUUACAAACAACAUGUAGCUGGUUUUAUAUUUUUAUGAAAUCUGGUUCUGUUUGCUAUUCAGUAUGUUUAAUCUUAAUUUACAUUUAUGUGAUUAAUGAAAUCUGGAUUUAUUUUUUACCAUUUUAUAUGUUCUGAAUACCAUUAUUUACAUUUGCUUCAGUUCUGGUUUUUCACUAGACUGAAAAGACUUUCUGUAUUUUCUCCUCGUCCUUUCUAUUUUCCUCAUUUGGAAGCUAUAAAUUAUAUUUCUCUUCCUAAGUGACCACCCUUAUAUUCUACAUAUGUAUCUAUAAAAUUUUUACCAAAGUCUAAAGUUACUCAAUAUUCUAUCUUCUUUCCAAACAGGAAAAGAAGAUUACUUCAUUUUAUUUACCUGUUACCAAAUUCCUAUCUUUUAUUGUUAUCUAAAAACUUAACGUCAAUUUUUUUUUUUUUUUGGUGCAUUUGCAAAUAGGUUGUCUUCUUAAUUUCUCCUAGUAUCUUCAGUUACUUCAUUAUUGUAUAGAAAUGCAAUACAUGUCUAUAUAUUAAUUUUGUAUCCUGUGACUUACUGAAUUCAUUUAUCAGUUCUAGUAGUUUUUUGGUGGAGUCUUGGGGUUAUCUGUGUAUAGUAUCAGGUCAUCUGCAAAUAGUGAAAGUUUUACUUCUUCUUUAUCACUUUGGAUGUCUUUUAUUUUUUCCUCAUCUGAUUGCUGUGGUUAGGACUUCCAGCACUUUUUUGAAUAAGAGGGGUGAGAGCGGACAUCCUGUCUUGUUGCUGAUCUUGAAGGAAAAGUUCUCAGUUUUUCACCCUUGAGUAUGAUGUUGGCUGUGGGUUUUGCGUAUAUGACCUUAUCGUGUUGAGAUAUGUUCCCUCUAAACCUACUUUGCUGACAGUUUUUAUCAUAAGUGAACUUUAUACUUUGUCAAAUGAUAUUUCUGCCUUUAUUGAGAUGAUCAUGUGGUUUUUAUUCUUUCUCUUGUUAAUGUAAUAUAUCAUAUUAAUUGAUAUGUAAAUAUUAAGCCAUGCUUACAUCCCUGGAGUAAAUCAUAUUUAAUUGUG